rnacentral:rRNA from 1 species
UACAGAGGUCUCAACCGUUGUUCGGAUUCAUUGGGCGUAAAGGGUGCGUAGGCGGUCGCGUAAGUCGGAUGUGAAAUCCCGGAGCUUAACUCCGAAACUGCAUUCGAUACUGGCGUGCUUGAGGACUGGAGAGGAGACUGGAAUUCAUGGUGUAGCAGUGAAAUGCGUAGAGAUCAUGAGGAAGACCAGUGGCGAAGGCGGGUCUCUGGACAGUUCCUGACACUGAGACACGAAGGCCAGGGGAGCAAACGGG